AUGCGUAGCCGACCUGAGAGGGUGAUCGGCCACACUGGGACUGAGACACGGCCCAGACUCCUACGGGAGGCAGCAGUAGGGAAUCUUCCGCAAUGGACGAAAGUCUGACGGAGCAACGCCGCGUGAGUGAUGAAGGUUUUCGGAUCGUAAAGCUCUGUUGUUAGGGAAGAACAAGUGCGAGAGUAACUGCUCGCACCUUGACGGUACCUAACCAGAAAGCCACGGCUAACUACGUGCCAGCAGCCGCGGUAAUACGUAGGUGGCAAGCGUUGUCCGGAAUUAUUGGGCGUAAAGGGCUCGCAGGCGGUUUCUUAAGUCUGAUGUGAAAGCCCCCGGCUCAACCGGGG
rnacentral:rRNA from 1 species